UGCAGGUGUCGCUAUGUUCAGCGUGGAAGUUUUAGAUGUGGUUAUACUUAUAGUAUAGUUUUAUUUUAAUGGUAUUAUUACAACUUGAAAUAUAAACGUAUUGUGUGGCUUUACUUCGUUAGGUUGAUACUAUGUCCAAAAUCGAACCAAGUGUUGAUGAUUCUGUCAGUACUUACAAUAUUCGACCAUCUCUUGACCAAAAGUUUCGAUCUGCCCCAGUUAAGGAAUGUAUAAGGCUAAUUCUUAUGGAAGAAUUAGGAGAUAAAAGUUAUCGUGCUGAGGACGUCCCAGUCUGGACAAAAAGUAUAGCAGAUGCAAUAAGAGACAAAAUUAAAGAGCUAGGCUUUGAGCGGUACAAGAUGGUUGUGCAAGUUGUUAUUGGUGAACAGAGAGGAGAGGGAGUUAAAAUUGGAAGCAGAUGUCUUUGGGAUUCUGACACAGACAACUAUGCAUCUGAUAUUUUUAUGAAUGAUUCUCUGUUUUGUGUGGCCACAGCAUUUGCAACAUACUACUAUUAACAUCUGCUUGUUGCUUUCCUUUCAUAUCAAAAUAUAAUUAUCUUUCUAGUCACAUCCACUCGUGUUCGUACUUAUUGUAGUGAGAGUUAAACUACAUAGUUGAAAAUCUGUGGCGAGGGCAAAGUUUGCUUCUGUGUGAGAGGGUUAUCAACAAACUGAUUUCUUGAGAAUUCAGUAACAACAAUACCUAAGAUUACCUCAGUAUCAAGACUUUAUGGUUGAUCAGGCAUUCUUAUGUAGAGUUCAGUACCAGAAUAUUAGUAUAGACCUUUGUUAAUCCUGGAUACCAAUGUUUCUUAUUAUCUAGAAUAAUAAAGAUACAAUAAACCACAAAGAUUUGAUUUGGUGCAUAUAAAAUAUUUAAAAACUGUGCAACAAACAGUAACUUUCUUAAAAGUAGCAGCAUAAAGCUAUUAUUUAAUAAAGUUAUUACUUUACUUGAAUACCAUUACUUUAUUAAGUAGUUUUCUUGGUCUAAACUAUUGAGUUUUAGCAACUCGACAGCUCACUAUUUGUCUUGAGCAAUCAAUAGAACAAUUAUAAUUACAUUAAGCAAUCAAUUUACUUUCAGUGAAUCACUCGAAAUCUAGUAUAGUAAACUCAAGUUAAUUAGACACCGACUAAUUGACAAAUUAAUUUAUACAAUUAAUAAACUGAUUACAUUUAGAAUAUAAGUAGAUUCAAUAUCCCAGAUUAAACUGCUCAUUCUGAGCCUUGAAGCAUUGUGUGAUUAAACCUUUGGUCGUGUCAUACCCAAGACCAGAUUCAGAGUUUAUCUACAAUAACGAAAUUGUAUAGAAUAACCAUGUUAGUGACAAAAAUAUUGAGAUGGGUUUUCAUAGAUAAAUGAGUUGAGUAUGUGUCUUACUGCUUCUGGCAUUAGAUCUAGCAGUGUAUAUUACUGGAGAACCAUUCCAAUCAAUAAAAACAUUCUGGCUAUAACAUCUUUUUUGGAACAUUUCAGGCACUACUUCAAUGAAGCAUUCUUGAAAUAUUAAUGGGGUUGUUGAUCAUGACAACUCAAUUGAGAACCACUGAGGUCAGUGGUUGAGUUGGAAGGAUUGUAAUGACAGAAUGAUAAACUUUCUGAAGACAUUGAUGUCAUGAGAAAGAAUGGGUGUCCCCCUACAAAAGUAUCUGGGUUACAAUGAAAAUUAUAUAACAAACCCACCCCACUAGAAAACAUUUACAAAAUAAAGUGUAACAAUUGCCCAGUCUUUUACAUAGGUGAAACAGGAUGUAACUUGAAGAUCAGGUUAAAAGAACACCAAACCCCCCUUCUGAAGUCCAUGAGCAUAUAAAGUAAACAGACAGUUUUUUUUAACAGAAUGUCAUAAUACUAAAAUGUGAACCCGACAUAAUAGAAGAAAAAUCAGAUAAGCUUUAUUAAUAACAUAAAACAAUCUCACAAUUAACAAAUACCCAAGCACAUCUCUAUAUGCCUUUGAUUAUUAUUUCCCCAAACAUUCUUAAUCUGAUGUAAGUAAUUUGCAUAACAUAUUCCAUAUUUUUUUAUUUAUUCACUUUUUGUUUGUUUUUUCUGUUCAGCCAUAAAUAAAUAAUCCUUAAAUUUAUACAGAUUAAUAUGCACAUGCUUGAGUAACCAUUUUCAAUUCUAAAAUUUAAAUACACUGUUGAAUGUUGAUUUAAGUACUAAAACCUUCUUUACAGUUACAACUUGUGUACUUGGGAAUGAUUGUACCAGUGAUAAAAAUGUCAUACCUGUUCUAAAAAUAAAAACAAAUCUUCCUUACUGUAAAAGGUGUAAAUAGUAAUAAAAUAAAGUAUCAUAAUGUAGCUAGGAAAAUUGAAAGAUGAGGAAUAAAUAGAACACUGGUAACAUCAGUAAAGAAACUCUUCUACCUCCUGAGAGACAGCCAGUAUCCACAUGAGCGGUCAGUGCAUAUCAGCACAAACCCCUGGGAAGUAUUCAACUGAAUUAGCUGUACUGAUGAUGUUGAGGUGUUAUGGAAUGACUUGUUACAUGGUAGGACAAAGUACUCAUGGUUCAAUAACUUGAACAAAGUUACACUUAUUUCCAACUUUU